UACGGGGGGGGGCAAGCGUUUGUUCGGAAUUACUGGGCGUAAAGGGCUCGUAGGCGGCCAACUAAGUCGGAUGUGAAAUCCCCAGGCUUAACCUGGGAACUGCAUCCGAUACUGGAUGGCUUGAAUCCGGGAGAGGGAUGCAGAAUUCCAGGUGUAGCGGUGAAAUGCGUAGAUAUCGAGAGGAACACCAGUGGCGAAGGCGAGUCCCUGGACAACUCCUGACGCUGAGGCACGAAAGCUAGGGGAGCAAACAGG
rnacentral:rRNA from 1 species